UCCCUCUUCCUCUUUCCCUCACCUUACUCAUGCUCUCUCUCUCUCUCUAAUAAAUAAAAUCUUUUUAAAAAUUUACAUAUUAAUAAGAGAAGAUGUUAGUUGAAGGACUCACUAUACACAAUGUAGUUUCAGUGAGUUAAGAAUACAGCUAUUCCUCAAUGGCCAUGUUUUUAUUAUAGAAUAUUGAAAGGCUUCUCUUACUUGGUCGCAUUCUCUUUGCUGAUGGAACAUUUCCAUAUUGCCCCAGUGACAGCAGCCAACCGUUCUUUAUUGUCAGUGUUAUUGAGCAGACUGGCCAGGGGUUUAAGUCCUCCAUGCAGUCUAACCAGGUCACGGGUUUCCUUAUCCUCAGCACACUACACAAAAAGUCAAAUCAGAGGCUGUCAGUGAUGACGGCAUAUCAAGCUUCCAGUGAUUGCUAAAGAGGCUGACAUUCUGGUGGCUACAAAACUUCUUUUCAGAGAGUAUCAUUUUCUGAAGGGGCCUCCAAGUAAAAUAUAAUUCUCCUUUAUAUUGGCAGUUAUCUGACAGUGUCUCUCUUCCCUUACAGGAUUUUGGCAAUGUCUAGAACUUUCUACAUGCUUGGAAAUUCUUCCAAGCUGUUCUGAGGUAGUGUGGGCUUCCAUGAAGACAGAAAGAGAGAAGAAAAUAUUAGGACACAGAGGAAGGAACAUGUGGAGACAUGUGAACAUGAAGAUGACCAUCUACAAGCCAAGGAGAGAGUCUCCAGAAGGAAGCAAUGCUAUCAACACCUUGAUCUCAAACUUGUAACCUCCAGAACUAUAAGGAAAUAAAUUUCUGUUAUUUAAGACA